rnacentral:rRNA from 1 species
GACAGAGGUGCCGAGCGUUAGGCGGAAUCACUGGGCUUAAAGCGUGUGUAGGCGGAUUCCUAAGUACCUUGUGAAAUCCCACGGCUCAACCGAGGAACUGCGCCCAAAACUGUCGUGCUCGAGGGAGACAGAGGUGAGCGGAACUUAGGGUGGAGCGGUGAAAUGCGUUGAUAUCCUAAGGAACACCGGUGGCGAAAGCGGCUCACUGGGUCUCUUCUGACGCUGAGGCACGAAAGCUAGGGUAGCGAACGGG